CAAAAAAACAUUGGAUUUCCGGAAAAAAUGGACAGAGGCUGUUCGGUCAUGAAACCAAAACACAUCGAUUAUAAAACUAAACAACAUAAUGAAGAUCUUCUCACAUGUAACCGGAAACACCCUUGGGAUUCAUCGUGAGUUUCUUCGAAAGCUCACCAAGAGAGGGGCAAAGGUUGUGGACCCAAUUGAUAAGGCUAAGGCUAUUAUCGUCUUCUGCCCCCUUGUCAGUCGUUAUGAGACCGACAUUCUCUCAGCGUUAUCCAGCAUCCCAGGUAGAAAUGCAGAAACCCAAACGCACAUGGAAAAGUUUUCUUAUGUUUGUCUUUUUCCUGCAUUGAACUGUGACCUCAGCUUUCUGUCUGUAACAAAGAAUGAAAAUGUGAGACUGUGAUUCUGGUGGUGAUGCAUCACACGUUCAACAAAGACCAGAUUCUACCACCACACAGAGACCUGGGCAGCCGUGCACUCGCUCUCCACGUGGACUGUCUGUUUCAUGAGCAAUUGGGACUUUUGAAAUGCCCUUGCAACUAACUUUCAACCAUGGCUUUCAGUCUUAUACAUUAAUGUGACUUAUAAUUUAUUCACUUUUUUCAUUUUCAUGUAGGUUGAACAAACAUGUGCUGCCUGUUUUUACUAUAUGCUUGUGCUAAUGUGACCUUCUUGAUGUUGCACUUAGUUAUUCAUUAUAAGCUUAUUACGAAUGUAGGAUAAAUUAUGGCUUGUAUAUUCCAUAAUAAAGCAAUCUUAUACUCUG